GAAAGAGAGAAGAGGAAGAAAGAAAAGAAAAAACAGAAAAGAAAAAGUUUUAAAGCAGCAGCUUCCGGUCCUCUUAACAGCAGUUCCAACAAAAAAAUCCAUAAGGGGUUUCCAGUCACUAAUAAAUGCAGAUACUGUUCUUUCUCCAAUCAAACAAGUCGAUUUUGCCAUCUCUGCUAAUUCACCAACCAUUCCUCCACGUGAGGUGCCUCCCCCUCCAUCAAUUGUCCCAGGCUCCCUGAAACACUGCCAGAGCUGCGGCCAUGAGUUCCACCAGCUAAUCUGAGCAUGCAGGCUUCCUGAAUUCAAGGUGAACCUUUUGCAGUCCAUGAGUCCUGAACGUUGGUGUGAAAAGACAGACCAAGGAAGUUGUACGUGCUCCUCCUGCAGAACCAAUCCCCUGGUUUCAGGACAAUUUUCACUUCUGGCCAAAAAGAUUUGCACUAACAAAUCACAACUGACUUGGUAGUGCACCGGACCUGCCUUUCCCUGCACCGCUGCCUGCAUCGCCUCAACAUCU